UACGAAGGGGGCUAGCGUUGUUCGGAAUCACUGGGCGUAAAGGGCGCGUAGGCGGCUUUGUAAGUCGGGGGUGAAAGCCUGUGGCUCAACCACAGAAUUGCCUUCGAUACUGCAUGGCUUGAGACCGGAAGAGGUAAGUGGAACUGCGAGUGUAGAGGUGAAAUUCGUAGAUAUUCGCAAGAACACCAGUGGCGAAGGCGGCUCACUGGCCCGAUACUGACGCUGAGGCACGAAAGCGUGGGGAGCAAACAGG
rnacentral:rRNA from 1 species